rnacentral:rRNA from 1 species
CCUACGGGAGGCAGCAGUGAGGAAUAUUGGUCAAUGGGCUUACGCCUGAACCAGCCAAGUCGCGUGAGGGAAGACUGCCCUAUGGGUUGUAAACCUCUUUUGUCAGGGAGCAAUUGGCGCUACGUGUAGCGUUAUCGAGAGUACCUGAAGAAAAAGCAUCGGCUAACUCCGUGCAAGCAGCCGCGGUAAUACGGAGGAGGCGAGCUUUAUCCGGAUUUAUGGGGUUUAAAGGGUGCGUAGGCGGAAUGCCAAGUCAGCGGUAAAAUCGCGGGGCUCAACCUCGCUCCGCCGUUGAUACUGGCGUUCUUGAGUGGGCGAGAAGUAUGCGGAAUGCGUGGUGUAGCGGUGAAAUGCAUAGAUAUCACGAAGAACUCCGAUUGCGAAGGCAGCAUACCGGCGUGCAACUGACGCUGAAGCACGAAAGUGUGGGUAUCGAACAGGAUUAGAUACCCCAGUAGUC